AUUGAACGCUGGCGGCAUGCCUUACACAUGCAAGUCGAACGGUAACAGGUCUUCGGAUGCUGACGAGUGGCGAACGGGUGAGUAAUACAUCGGAACGUGCCUAGUAGUGGGGGAUAACUACUCGAAAGAGUGGCUAAUACCGCAUGAGAUCUAUGGAUGAAAGCAGGGGAUCGCAAGAACUUGUGCUACUAGAGCGGCAGAUGGCAGAUUAGGUAGUUGGUGGGAUAAAAGCGUACCAAGCCGACGAUCUGUAGCUGGUCUGAGAGGACGAUCAGCCACACUGGGACUGAGACACGGCCCAGACUCCUACGGGAGGCAGCAGUGGGGAAUUUUGGACAAUGGGCGCAAGCCUGAUCCAGCAAUGCCGCGUGCAGGAUGAAGGCCUUCGGGUUGUAAACUGCUUUUGUACGGAACGAAAAGCCCUGGGUUAAUACCCUGGGGUCAUGACGGUACCGUAAGAAUAAGCACCGGCUAACUACGUGCCAGCCGCCGCAGUAACAC
rnacentral:rRNA from 1 species